UAUGUACAAGGUUGGUGCACAAGUAAUCGCGGUUUUUGCCAUUACUUUUAAUGGCAAGAAUCGUGAUUACUUGUGCACCGACCUAAUAAGAAG
ensembl:miRNA